AUAAAAUCACAAAACAAAAGGAACAAAGAAAAGA
rnacentral:guide_RNA from 1 species